UUAGGCCCAGCUGUCAUCUUAGGACAUUCUUAGCAAUACUGCCGAGUUUGGAGCUCACUAUGUGACACAACAGUUUAGUUCUCUUUUUUGCUGUUGACUUCAGGUCAGGGAAGAGAAGGAUGAAGAAUGUCCUGAAACACACAAAUUAACAGAUGCCUUGGGUUUGUUUCCUGGAAUCUGGUCUCCAGUGCUGUGAUGAUACAGUGCAGCACAGCAGGCAGAAUAUAGACAGAGACCUGCGGACUGCCAUACCACCCAGAGACCUGUCCUCCAG